GCUUACGGCCAUACCACCCUGAACACGCCCGAUCUCGUCCGAUCUCGGAAGCUAAGCAGGGUCGGGCCUGGUUAGUACGUGGAUGGGAGACCGCCUGGGAAUACCAGGUGCUGUAAGCU
rnacentral:rRNA from 1 species